CUAAAUCGUAAACUGUAGUUCAAAUAAAAGCACUACUCAGCAGUCAAAAUUUUCUCUACUUUAAACAGUUUGGUGCUAAUGUUUUUGAUGCACUGGGUGUCGUCGUCGGGCUGCAUAAUAUACACCAAUAUAGAUUUUAAAUAUAAAGUGAGUAGUGUUGUUCUGGAACGGCGUUGGGUUGCUAUGGUUACUCAGAGUAGUAAUUGUAGAUUAAAUAAAUAAACAAACAAAUAAAUGUUAAAAAACUUAAACAUCUAUAUAAGCUACAUAAAUUUGAGGUUGUACUACUAAUAUUAAGAAUUGCUAAAUUAUCAAAAGGUUAGUGGCUUGUUUUGUUUAUCAGAUAUUUUCAUGGUGUAGAUAACUGUUGCAUAGGGCGGUCAUUUAUGAGUCUUUUUUCUUCACAGUGGUAUAAAUUUCCAUGGUCCCGUGGCACCCCCCUUAGCUGAAAUCGUACUAAGAGAAGCGGAGGCUAAAGUCCUUUAUAAACUCUACAAUGGCAUGAGAUUCUAUUUAUGUUAUGUCAAUGAUAUAUUAACAGUAUGGGACAAAGGGCAGGAUCCAAAAGUCUUAAUGGAAAGUUUAACAAUAAAAGUGUAUGGUGUAGUAUUGAAAGAACAACAGGUUAGCCAUUCAUCUGCACAGGUUUUAGACAUUAAGAUAGAAAUAAGAGAUAAGAAAGUAGAUACCUCAUCCAUCAUUGCUUUCAACUGCUUCAAUCACUUUGUUAUGUACACUAAUUCCAAAUAAAGCAUUAUCUGCAGUAUACAUAUAAUAAUCACUUUAAUCUAAGAGAAUAUACAAACGUUUUCAGCAGUACAUACCGCCAUCAUCAGGU
rnacentral:lncRNA from 1 species